AGUCCUGUGAAUUUGGACGAGUGUUGUUGUCAGGCUCGAGCUCGGCUCGUUGACAGCCGCCCCCUCCUCCCGCUCAGGGCCUCAGCAGGUUCAUCUCCUCCCCUCUGUGGCUCUGUUUCUCCUGAUCUCCUCCCUUGCUCGGGAUCUUCCUUCCCUGGCGGCGACGUCUGGGCGAGCGGCGGCCCAGCCCUUUGCCGGCGAUGAGCGCAUCCUCCAGGUUUCAGUGUUGGACAACAGUUUUCCGAAUCCUCCAAUCGCUUGCCUGCAGUGACAGAUCCAUUUUGCCCCAUUUCGUACUUGUCGACUCCAUUGUCUUUAAUGAGCACAGCUUCCCGAAUAUUUGGUGGGAAAUCAAAACCCUUCUACAUUGCAGGAAGCUCUUUCCCUGAGAACAAAUGUAUCCUACGCCUAUCCCAUUGCCAUAUUCCCCUCCUCCUCUCUCGUGCAAUUGUUUCGGGUCUUCUCAUCAAGCCACCCCUUGUCCAUUCCAUCCUCCGAUCUCUCUCCUUGGGGCCUGUCCCAUCUCUAUCCCUCUCCUUCCUCUCCCUGCUCCGCCAAUCUGGAUAUAUGACCCUCGAUAACUAUUCCCUCAACAUUGCCCUCUCCGCUACUGCCCGCCUCCCAUCUGUUUCUGUUGGUGGCCAGCUUCAUUCCCUUUCUGUCAAACUUGGCUUGGUUUCUGAUACAUUUGUCCUUAAUUCCCUUAUCAACAUGUACUCAUCAUGUAGCUAUCCAGCUACUGCAAGGCUAGUUCUUGAUUCUGCUCCCCAAGGAGCUUGUGAUGUCGUUUCUUGGAACACAAUAAUUGCUGGAUACCUACGAGGCGGGAUGCCAAAUAAAGCAUUGCAGGCUUUUGGUGAAAUGGCCAAGGAGCAAGUUAGGCUGGAUGAUGUCACAUUGCUGAAUGCGCUUGUUGCAUCUGCCAGGACAGGCACAGUGAAGGUCGGGAGGCUGUGCCAUGGUUUAGUUGUGGUGAAUGGGGUUGGAAUUAACUGUCAUAUGGGAUCCUCUCUGAUUAGUAUGUAUGCUAAGUGUGGACUGGUUGAAGAUGCCCGCAAGGUGUUUGAUGGAAUGCACGGGAGAAAUGUGGUUUGCUGGACCUCAAUGAUUUCUGGGUACACACAGUUGGGUAAGUUUAAAGAGGCCGUUCAGCUUUUCAGGGACAUGCAAAUUUCUGGAAUGAAGGCUGAUGAUGCGACAAUUGCUACUGUUGUAUCGUCAUGUGCCCAAAUGGGAGCACUUGACUUGGGAUGUUAUGUUCAUGCUUAUUGUGAUGUUCAUGGUUUAGGAAAGGAGCUUUCUGUGAAGAAUUCACUUAUUGAUAUGUACUCAAAGUGUGGGGAUAUAAAAAAGGCUUAUGAGAUAUUCAGUGGAUUGACCAAGCGUGAUGUGUUUUCUUGGACAGCAAUGAUAAUGGGCUUUGCUCUUAAUGGCCUCUGUGGCAAAGCACUAGAUUUGUUUGCUCAGAUGGAAGGAGAGGGUAUGGUUAUACCAAAUGAGGUCACUUUCUUGGGUGUCCUUACUUCUUGUAGCCAUGGAGGGUUACUGGAACAUGGGUACCAUCACUUUCAGCGUAUGUCCACUGUCUACAAUCUUGCACCAAGGAUCGAACACUAUGGAUGCAUGGUUGAUCUAUUGGGCCGUGCAAAACUAUUGGCAGAGGCAUCACAGUUUAUUAAAGAGAUGCCUAUUGCUCCAGAUGUGGUAGUAUGGCAGUCGUUGUUGUUUGCUUGCAGAGCUUGUGGAGAGGUAGGACUUGCAGAAUAUGUAGCAGAAAGGAUCCUAGAACUGGAGCCAAAAAAGUGUGCAGGACAUGUUUUACUUUCUAAUGUCUAUGCUACCACAUCAAGGUGGGUUGAUGUGAAUAAGUUGCGGACACCUAUGAACGGUAGCAGGAUGAGUAAGCAGCCGGGUUGCUCUUUCAUUGAAGUGGACGGAUGUGUGCAUGAAUUCUUUGCAGGAGAUGAAUCACACCUUGAGACAGAAGCUAUAUACAAUAUUCUUUUGGGGAUCAAUGAGCUAUUAGUGGCAGAGUCCUUGCUCGUAUGAAAGUUAACAUACUUUUGUGGCAACUAGAUAGGCUGAUUUCAAAUGUACCAUGCUAUGGUUUUAUAUGAUGGAGUGGAAAAUGCUUAUACUUUUUUAUUUCCUGGGAGUUAGGAAAUUCAUUUUUCAUGUUUUAACUUCGCGACCAGAAUUCUUGAUGGUUAGUGUUUGGGUCCCUGGCAAUGUCUGAGAAUUUUGGGUGUGUUCCUAGAAUUGGGAUUAAUUCCCAAAGCACCCGAAAAAGGAAAAAAAAUACUUCUAGCCUAGGUCUAAAAAAAACUAGCAUGUAAUUGAAUGUGUAGUGUGCACUAUGUCUCUAUUUUUUCUCUCCACAACAUCUGAAAGUAUCAAUUAUUGUAUAUACAGAGAUCACAUUCACACCUUUUUUUUUCUGUUUAGAGUUUAUUGUGACAAACUUAAAUUGCCUUAUUGUGUUCCACUGAGGAGCGAGGACUAGAGGUUAAUACUCCUAUAAAGGUGCCAUGGGAUUUAUUUAGUAAGCUCUUAUUGGUAGUUAUUCCUUGCUUGCAGUCUCAUAUCUGAUUUAUGAAUCCUUGGAGCAUGGUGAAUGGUUUCACCCAUCAUUUUAUGAGCUGGCUUGAUUAGAAAAUUAUAUUGAGGUCAUGUUGCUCAGGAAACUAGAUAUUGCAGGAAUUACUCUAGGAUCACAAUUCACUAAAAUUAAACUUCAAAAUCUGAACUUUCUGCUAACUGAUAAGUAGAAGUUUUGGGGAAAUAUAUUGUUAGCAUCAAUGAGAGAAACACCAGUAUGAUUUUGUCUGUCCUCCAGUUUCCAAAUCUUUCCUUUCAGAACCAUUUUCUGUAUAUGCUUUUGCAGUUUGCUAUAACAUGUUGUGUCGGCCAAAAAAUUCCUGUAGUGGUAUUGAUAAGAAUUGUGGCUCUUAUAGCAUGAUGGCCUGGAGUGUCCACUGCUAUGCUGCUGUCAUAGCUGUCCAUUGCAUUGGUUUCCUGUUCCUUUUCUCAUGCUUGUUUAAUUGGCCAUAUUUGAUUUAGAACUGAUUUUUUGUUUCUCAGCACAACCAUCUGGUGGCUUGGAACUUUAUCAUGUAUCCAUUGGUGGCUUGUAGGGCUGUGCCAAUCACCGAAAUAUAAACAAGCAGGAGUCUCUGAUUAACAGAAGUUUUUGAAUGUUUCUGAAAUUGAAAUUCGCCUGAACGGAGUUAUGGAUCGGAAGAAUCGAACUCCUCAAGGUCAAAUAGCACAAGUGGUCGUGGAAUUUCUUGAGGUAGCUGUCAGCUGCAUUGUCUUCCUCAAAGGCUUCUAUCCUCCUCGUGCCUUUGAGAGGAGAAGGUACAUGAAUGUAGUGGUCCAGAAAGCAGUGCAUCCGGAACUUGCUAGCUAUAUUCACUCCACGACUACUGGCCUUCUCCCUUUCAUACAGAAGGGAUUGGUUGAGAGGGUUGUAGUCAUCUUCUAUGACAAGGAGCAUGUACCAAUCGAGAAGUUUGUCUUCAAGCUUGCAGUAAACCAAUCGUAUGGUUCCAAGUUAGAGGAGGAAGACCUGGAAUUUGCGCUGCGAGCUUUCUUGAUCAAACUGACAGUUGCUGAACCUGUCACCAAGUCUCUUCCAUCAGAUGGCAGCUGGGAGGUCACUGCCUACUUCCGAUCCCUCCCCGGCGAUGGCGACCGAGAAGCUCAGCUGUGGAUCCCCACGGACACCAAGCUGUGGAUGCAGCCUGCCCAGAUCACCCCCAUCAAGUCGGUGAGCUGUGACCCUCUGAAGAUGCAGCUUUACCUGGAACACCCUGGCCCCACGGAACCAAAGAACCUUGCCGGCUAGCAGGAACCUGUGCCUGCUCUGUGUUCAUUCUCUGUUGAGAUCACCACAGGCUAGAGAAAAAUGGACAAAGUUCUUGGCUGUUGCUGCAGUCAUGAGAGGGGGGUGGGUGGUUAUAGGGGUUCAAUUCCUGGUCGUCCUGGGCUUAUCCAAGGGCAGAUGAGAGACUUCCCCAUUUCAUGGACUGUCCAUAACAGUAGCUGUAACACCAGCUGUACAUCUCCCAGUAGAUUCAGAUGUAUCGUUGGGGAGAAAAAUUUGAGCUGCGGAACUUGAAGCGAAGGCUGUAUUCUUGUGUCCAUCACUUAUGCUGAUCAAAAUGCCGUGGGCGAAAAAUUAAGCCAAA